rnacentral:pre_miRNA from 1 species
CAAUAUUUUUUGGCGAUUCUUUCUUAUUUAUGAAUAAGUUUACAUGCUCAAUACUAAUAAUUACGUACUCUCACAAGUCCAACUAUUGUAUGAAUAAGAUUACUGCGUAAUGACACUUCAAGGAUGAU